rnacentral:rRNA from 1 species
AUUGCACGCUGGCGGCAGGCCUAACACAUGCAAGUCGAGCGAGCGGCGGACGGGUGAGUAAUGUAUGGGGACUGCCAGAUAGAGGGGGAUAACUCCUGGAAACGGAGGCUAAUAACGCAUACUAUCGGAUAAACCAUAUGGUAUUAGCGAGUAGGUGGGGUAAACGCUCACCUAGGCGACGAUCUCUAGCUGGUCUGAUAGGAUGAUCAGCAACACGGGUGUUGAGACACGGCACAGCCUCCUAUGGAGGCAGCAGUGUGGAAUAUUGCACACUGGGCGCAAGCCUGAUGCAGCCAGGCCGCUUGUAGGAUGAAGGCCUUAGGGUUGGAAAGUACUUUCAGCGGGGAGGCGUUACCCGCAGAAGAAGCAGCUGCUAACUCCGUGCCAGCCGCCGCGGUAAGAC